rnacentral:pre_miRNA from 1 species
AGUGGAAUAGCUGGGUCAAAUGGUGGUUCCAUUCCAAGUUUUCUGAGGAAUCUGCUUUCCAGAGUGGUUGCACCAAUUUGCAGUUCCACCAGCAAU